rnacentral:rRNA from 1 species
UACGUAGGGCGCAAGCGUUGUCCGGAAUUAUUGGGCGUAAAGAGUUCGUAGGCGGCUUGUCACGUCGGGUGUGAAAGCCCGGGGCUUAACCCCGGGUCUGCAUUCGAUACGGGCUAGCUAGAGUGUGGUAGGGGAGAUCGGAAUUCCUGGUGUAGCGGUGAAAUGCGCAGAUAUCAGGAGGAACACCGGUGGCGAAGGCGGAUCUCUGGGCCAUUACUGACGCUGAGGAGCGAAAGCGUGGGGAGCGAACAGG